AGAGCGAACGCUGGCGGCAGGCCUAAUACAUGCAAGUCGAACGCACCUUCGGGUGAGUGGCGGACGGGUGAGUAACACGUGGGAACGUGCCCUUUGGUUCGGAAUAAUCCGGGGAAACCUGGCCUAAUACCGGAUGUGCCCUUCGGGGGAAAGAUUUAUCGCCAUUGGAGCGGCCCGCGUCUGAUUAGCUAGUUGGUGGGGUAAAGGCCCACCAAGGCUACGAUCAGUAGCUGGUCUGAGAGGAUGAUCAGCCACACUGGGACUGAGACACGGCCCAGACUCCUACGGGAGGCAGCAGUAGGGAAUCUUGCGCAAUGGGGGAAACCAUGACGCAGCCAUGCCGCGUGAAUGAUGAAGGUCUUAGGAUUGUAAAAUUCUUUCAGCGGGGAAGAUAAUGACUGUACCCGCAGAAGAAGCUCCGGCUAACUUCGUGCCAGCAGCCGC
rnacentral:rRNA from 1 species